UACGGAGGGGGCUAGCGUUGUUCGGAAUUACUGGGCGUAAAGCGCACGUAGGCGGCUUUGUAAGUUAGAGGUGAAAGCCCGGAGCUCGACUCCGGAACUGCCUUUAAAACUGCAUCGCUUGAAUCCAGGAGAGGUGAGUGGAAUUCCGAGUGUAGAGGUGAAAUUCGUAGAUAUUCGGAAGAACACCAGUGGCGAAGGCGGCUCACUGGACUGGUAUUGACGCUGAGGUGCGAAAGCGUGGGGAGCAAACAGG
rnacentral:rRNA from 1 species